GGUGGCCAACCUCUGGCCCAGAGGAAUUUGGGGUGGAACAACCAAGAAAGGUGAGAGGGAGCAGACGCCAGGAGGAGAAGCAGAGGUGGGGACUGAGAAGAAACCCUUUCAAGGAGGCACAAGACUUCAGUGAUUGAUUCUCCAAAGAGCGGUGCCUCUCAGUGCCUGGCUGAACUUGGAUCGGGUGACAAAGAAGGAGGUAUAUCUGAGGCUUCCAAGACUGGGCCAAGUGGAAUUAGGUGAGAGACAACUUGAUGAGAAAACCACAUUGCCCAUUGAGAGAGAUACAGCAUGGACACUGUGAAUGACAGCUAUUAACCAAAGCAAGGACCAAGGAAUGAUCACAUUUCAAAUACCAUGCUCUAUGGGAGAGGAGGGGUGGAAUCGAGGAGAGGCAACGAAGAUGCGAAGACAAGAGGUGUCUGUGGAUGAGAAGACUGUGUUUCUAAGGUCAGAAGCCGUGAUAUGGACACGAUGCCCCGAGAGCAGUUGUGGCCAGGUGAGGAAACGGAAGAACGCACAAGUAGGUCAUGAGUCCCCCAAGCAGAAGCGGAGGAGGUUUUGCAGCUGACUCAUGGUGCUGGUUACAGGGGAAGGGGUGGCCAUUGCAAUAUUAAAUCAUGGUAUAUGAGCGCACUGUAUAGAUGAGCCAAGGACAUGAUGUCCAGGCAGUAUUUAAGAAAUUAAUGCCAUAUGUCAGUCAUAGAUCUUGCCAAUCUUUUAUCUGCCUUUCUUUCCACUACUAGCCUUAGAUAGAAGAGAAAUAAAAAGGAAACUGAGUAUUUCUACAGUUCAGCCUACACUCCUGCCCAUCUUAUACAUACAUCAUUCUUUCUUCUAUUAUCUUCCUUUUUUUGUUGUUGUUUUUGACAGGCUUUUGCUAUGUACUCC